AACAGAUAUUACUUUUUCCUUAAAUAAAAUGUCUUUUUUCAUAUUAUUUAUUUUUUACAACAAGUGUAAAAUUUUAUUUGUUUUUUUUCACGAUAAGUUAUACAGGAUUUUUUCCUUAUAAGUAAAAAUUUUGUUAUACGUUUUUCUUUUUUUCUUUUAUUAUUGAAAAUGUGUAUCAAGGACCUGAAUUAGAUAGGUAGUCGAGGAAAGGUUAAUAUGAGGAUAUGAAAACCACAGUACAAUUUUAAAAUUCUUAGGUUGUUUAGUGGUAUCUUAAAUGGCAGUCGUUUUUGAGAAAGAUAUAAAUAGAAGAUUUGUAAACAAGUUUUGACACUCUACCUAAGGAGCUAUCAUCUGCGACUACACUGAUGGCAGUGAUAAAGCUAGACUGAGCUACAUCAUUCCAAAAAAGAUCACGGUAUAGAAAGAUCACGGUGCAAAAGAAGGUUAGUACAUUGAGUGGAUUACAGUUUGGCACCUCAAGUUUCAUGUAAAAACAGCAUAAAAUACUUUAGAUAAAUCCAGUGCACUGUCAGAAAACGAAAACUUAAAAAUAAAUUAAUUUUAAAAAAAAAUUAAAAAAUUAUAGAAACAAUUUGGGCAUUGUCAUUGUAUUUUAAAAGCACUGACUUGCCAAAAAGAACACACAUUUCACAUGUAAAAUUCAAAUAGUACAAUAGCAUAAUAAAGCAAGAUUUGUUUUUAAUUCACGCUCACAGAUAUUAAAGUAUAAAUCUUUUUUUUUUUAAGAUAAAUAUGUAUGCAUGUACCUAUACAGAUACGGGUGCAUAUAAAGUAUAUAUAAAACUAUAC